rnacentral:rRNA from 1 species
AACGAACGCUGGCGGCGUGCUUAACACAUGCAAGUCGAACGAUGAACCCGGAGCUUGCUCCGGUGGAUUAGUGGCGAACGGGUGAGUAACACGUGAGUAACCUGCCCUUGACUCUGGGAUAACUGCGGGAAACUGUAGCUAAUACCGGAUACGACCCUCGGCGGCAUCGCCAGGGGGUGGAAAGAAUUUCGGUCAAGGAUGGACUCGCGGCCUAUCAGCUAGUUGGUGAGGUAACGGCUCACCAAGGCGACGACGGGUAGCCGGCCUGAGAGGGUGACCGGGCACACUGGGACUGGGGAACAGCCCAGACUCCUACGGGAGGCAGCGGUGGGGAAUAUUUCACAAUGGGCGCAAGCCUGAUGCAGCAACGCCGCGUGAGGGAUGACGGCCUUCGGGUUGUAAACCUCUUUUAGUAGGGAAGAAGCGAAAGUGACGGUACCUGCAGAAAAAGCACCGGCUAACUACGUGCCAGCCGCCGCAGUAA